CCUACGGGUGGCUGCAGUCGAGAAUCUUCGGCAAUGGGCGCAAGCCUGACCGAGCGACGCCGCGUGCGGGAUGAAGGCCCUUGGGUUGUAAACCGCUGUCAGAGGGGAUGCGUUAAAGCCAGAGGAAGCACGGGCUAAGUUCGUGCCAGCAGCCGCGGUAAUACGAACUGUGCAAACGUUAUUCGGAAUCACUGGGCUUAAAGGGUGCGUAGGCGGCCAUUUAAGUAGGGUGUGAAAGCCCCCGGCUCAACCGGGGAAUUGCGUCCUAAACUGGAUGGCUGGAGUGAGAUAGAGGUGUGUGGAACUUCCGGUGGAGCGGUGAAAUGUGUUGAUAUCGGAAGGAACGCCGGUGGCGAAAGCGACACACUGGAUCUACUGACGCUGAGGCACGAAAGCCAGGGGAGCGAACGGGAUUAGAUACCCUUGUAGUC
rnacentral:rRNA from 1 species